UCUCGGCUUAUCACCGGCAGUCCCCCUAGAGUGCCCAACCAAAUGAUGGCAACUAGGGGCGAGGGUUGCGCUCGUUGCGGGACUUAACCCAACAUCUCACGACACGAGCUGACGACAGCCAUGCACCACCUGUGAUCCUGCCCCGAAGGGAAGACCUGUUUCCAGGCCGGUCAGGAACAUGUCAAGCCCAGGUAAGGUUCUUGGCGUUGCGUCCAAUUAAACCACAUGCUCCACCGCUUGUGCAGGCCCCCGUCAAUUUCUUUGAGUUUUAAUCUUGCGACCGUACUCCCCAGGCGGAUAACUUAAUGCGUUAGCUGCGCCACCAAAACCCUAAGGGCCCUGACAGCUAGUUAUCAUCGUUUACGGCGUGGACUAC
rnacentral:misc_RNA from 1 species